UGAACGACUCUCGGCAACGGAUAUCUCGGCUCUUGCAUCGAUGAAGAACGUAGCGAAAUGCGAUACUUGGUGUGAAUUGCAGAAUCCCGUGAACCAUCGAGUCUUUGAACGCAAGUUGCGCCUGAAGCCAUUAGGCUGAAGGCACGUCUGCCUGGGC
rnacentral:rRNA from 5 species